rnacentral:rRNA from 1 species
AGAAGUGAAUUAAGGGCAUUUGGUGGAUGCCUUGGCAUGCACAGGCGAAGAAGGACGUGAUACGCUGCGAAAAGCCGUGGGGAGCUGCGAAUAAGCUUUGAUCCAUGGAUCUCCGAAUGGGGCAACCCACCUCAGAUAUCUAGAAAAUCUGUUUUGCUGCACGCUUGAAUAAUCUUCUUAUUGGUUUGCAUGGGACUUCCCAUACAGACCUUCAGGUCGUCGCCAAUCGUUUGGCGCGCCGUCCGCAGGCCUCCGGCCGUGAGGACAGAGGACACCCGGGAGAUCGGGUUCAAGGGUUCAGCGAAAGAGGUUUCUAGAUAUCGCAAUGAGGUAUCUGCACCUGAAUACAUAGGGUGUAAGAAGCGAACGCAGGGAACUGAAACAUCUAAGUACCUGCAGGAAAGGACAUCAACCGAGACUCCGUAAGUAGUGGCGAGCGAACGCGGACCAGGCCAGUGGCAAUGAUGAAUAAAGCGGAACGAUUUGGAAAGGUCGGCCAUAGCGGGUGAUAGCCCCGUACGCGUAGAACAGUCAUUGUCCUUGAGUAGGGCGGGACACGUGAAAUCCUGUCUGAACAUGGGGAGACCACUCUCCAAGCCUAAGUACUCGUGCAUGACCGAUAGCGAACAAGUACCGUGAGGGAAAGGUGAAAAGCACCCCGACGAGGGGAGUGAAAUAGAACCUGAAACCGGAUGCCUACAAACAGUCGGAGCCCGCAAGGGUGACGGCGUACCUUUUGUAUAAUGGGUCAACGACUUAGUGUAACAAGCAAGCUUAAGCCGGUAGGUGUAGGCGAAGCGAAAGCGAGUCUGAACAGGGCGAUUUAGUUUGUUGCAUUAGACCCGAAACCGAGUGAUCUAGCCAUGAGCAGGUUGAAGGUUGGGUAACACCAACUGGAGGACCGAACCCGCAUCUGUUGCAAUAGAUUGGGAUGACUUGUGGCUAGGGGUGAAAGGCCAAUCAAACUCGGAAAUAGCUGGUUCUCCGCGAAAUCUAUUUAGGUAGAGCGUCGACCGAAUACCCUCGGGGGUAGAGCACUGGAUGGGCUAUGGGGACUCACCGUCUUACUGAUCCUAACCAAACUCCGAAUACCGAGGAGUACUAGUCGGCAGACACACGGCGGGUGCUAACGUCCGUCGUGAAGAGGGCAACAACCCUGACCUCCAGCUAAGGUCCCCAAGUCAUGGCUAAGUGGGAAAGGAUGUGAGGAUCCCAAAACAACCAGGAUGUUGGCUUAGAAGCAGCCAUCAUUUAAAGAAAGCGUAACAGCUCACUGGUCUAAAUAAGGGUCUUUGCGCCGAAAAUGUAACGGGGCUAAAGCCAUGCACCGAAGCUGAGGAUACAACGUAAGUUGUGUGGUAGCGGAGCGUUCCGUAAGUCUGUGAAGGCGGACCCGUGAGGGCUGCUGGAGAUAUCGGAAGUGCGAAUGUUGACAUGAGUAACGAUAAAGGGAGUGAGAGACUCCCUCGCCGAAAGACCAAGGGUUCCUGCUUAAAGUUAAUCUGAGCAGGGUUAGCCGGCCCCUAAGACGAGGCGGACACGCGUAGUCGAUGGGAACCACGUUAAUAUUCGUGGGCCUGGUGGUAGUGACGGAUCUUGUGUGUUGUUCAACCUUAUUGGAUUGGUUGGGCGGCGAAGAGGUUCCAGGAAAUAGCUCCACCGUAUAGACCGUACCCGAAACCGACACAGGUGGUCAGGUAGAGUAUACCAAGGCGCUUGAGAGAACUAUGUUGAAGGAACUCGGCAAAUUGCACGCGUAACUUCGGAAGAAGCGUGACCCUUUUGCACGCAAGUGUGAUGGGGUGGCACAGACCAGGGGGUAGCGACUGUUUAUCAAAAACACAGGGCUCUGCGAAGUAGCAAUACGACGUAUAGGGUCUGACGCCUGCCCGGUGCUGGAAGGUUAAAGGGAGAGGUGCAAGCUUUGAACUGAAGCCCCAGUAAACGGCGGCCGUAACUAUAACGGUCCUAAGGUAGCGAAAUUCCUUGUCGGGUAAGUUCCGACCUGCACGAAUGGCGUAACGACUUCCCCGCUGUCUCCAA